GGGCUGUAGUCUCUGCUUUCAUGGGAAGCGCCAGAUGUUUGUGUGUGUGUGUGUGUGUGUGUGUGUGACAGAGAGAGAGCGAGAGAGAGCAAGAGAGAGAAAAAAAUACAAAUGUACUAAAAAUGAUAUAAAUAUGUGAUAAUUUUGAGCUUAAAGAUUUCCAGGUUAUGACUGGUUGAGGUUACUGAGGUUAAGGUUUGGGUUUCUGAGUUUGAGGUUACUGAGGUUAAGGUUUGGGUUUCUGAGUUUGAGGUUACUGAGGUUAGGGUUUGGGUUUCUGAGUUUGAGGUUACUGAGGUUAGGGUUUGGGUUUCUGAGUUUGAGGUUACUGAGGUUAGGGUUUGGGUUUCUGAGUUUGAGGUUACUGAGGUUAGGGUUUGGGUUUCUGAGUUUGAGGUUACUGAGGUUAAGGUUUGGGUUUCUGAGUUUGAGGUUACUGAGGUUAGGGUUUGGAUUUCUGAGUUUGAGGCUACUGAGGUUAAGGUUUGGGUUUCUGAGUUUGAGGUUACUGAGGUUAGGGUUUGGGUUUCUGAGUUUGAGGUUACUGAGGUUAGGGUUUGGGUUUCUG
ensembl:lncRNA